UCAUUAAUUAAUGAUUGCCUCUCCAUCACUGCCCCCACCCAUCCUAGCUCGACAACCCGGUCCUGAAUUGACUUCUUAACUGACUGGACUUGCAGGGAGCAGUAAAGCCUUGGUUCUGCCCACAAUCCAGCUGACACAAGAUGGGACUGAUUCUGGAAAUCAGACAUUCCUUCCUCCGCUGCGGCCGUCAACUUUCGAGACCAUCUCCGCUCAGAAGGAUUCCACCUUCGGAAACCAUCGAUGAAAGAGCCCUUAUAAGAACAACCGAAUCCAACUUUUGUUUCUAAAUGGCCAGUGACUAGUGCAACUGUUUGGAAAUGUUCUUGUUUGCAGAACUGAUUUCUACUCAGAUAGUAGCAUGCAAGUUCUUAUUCACUGAGACUCCGGUACAGAAAGUAUUCUUUUUAUACUGAAAGAUGGUAGUCAAGACCAACAGAUGAGUAUUCACUCAUUUCAUGGAGUAAAUAAUUACUUGGACAUUUCACCCCCCCUGAUGCUGAUCAUGGACCGGGGGAAGAAAGAGCGUGUGUGUGGUUCUACCCUCAGCAGAGAGCCAAGUUCGCCCUUGCCGUUGGCUGGGAUAGCGUGACAUGUAGGCACCUCCAGAGCCCCCCCACGACUUCGUCUCGGAAGAACAGACCCAAGGGGAGGCCUGGCCGUCCGAGACCGGAAAAUACUCACGGCUGAGCGCCAAUUUCCCGCAGGUGAUAGAAGAGUUGAGGAAGAUGAGUUUGAAGCAGAGUCUCAAACAACAGGCACAGGGACACAACACCCUAAGGAGAAAACCCAUUUCAAACAUGAAAAAUUAAUGAUUUCCAGACGCUUUGAAGAGAAACAACAUGAAAAAUCUGAAUAUUGCGGAUGUACAAUUAUUCCAUUAUAGUUAAGGGUCAGAACACAACUGAACCGAAUGGGGAAAACCAGGGCUGCGUGACCGGGUCUCUAGGGUAAACCAGUCAUUGGCCGCCGGCGGACGGAGGAGCAGCCUUUCUUCUAUAUCCCGGGGCGUCUUGUUUCUAACACAAUAGGCUCCACCUAAACCGGAUAUGCAAUAUCCGGCUAUCCCAAGAAAAGGCAAAAACACACAAUAUUUCUUUUCAGACUAAACUGCUAUUUGGUCCA